UUUAUUUAAAUAUUAAUAUUUAUAAAAAUAAUUGGAAAUAAUGUAUAUCACAAGGAGCUUAAGUAUAAAUGGCAAAAUCAUGGUACUUGAGAAAGCUGGGAAAAUUUAUUACAAAAAGCGGCUAAAAGUAAAUGCCCGAGGAAGCCCGAGGAAUCUUAUCUUUAGUUUUCUGUAAAAUUAGAAUCAGAAAAUCACAUCUGAUUGUCUUUUAAGAUCAUUAAACCCAAAUCUUUCCAGUUUUAGUUAUUAUUCAGCACCAAAUUAAAAUGUAGACACUUUUAUAGGUUCUUUUUAAUGCUUUAUUUAUAUGGAUUUAUAUACAUUAAUUAUUACUUUAAGUAUACUUUGGUUGAAAUAUAAUAAAUUUGCAUCAUCCAUAAGAUUUAAACGUCA